AUUGUUUAGUGACUAAUUUGAUGGUGCUACAAUUUGUAAGCAAUUCGAUAUGAAACAUAAAUUAAUUUUAACCACUUAAUCUUUUUUAUGAUUUUGCCAACUUUUAACUACAAAUUUACCAUUAAAAUAUUGUUUUUAAUUCUAACCCAACGGCUCGCAAGCAUUUGGGGAAUGAAGAUCCAAUAAAUAAAGGAAUGACGACGGACACUGCACACACAACAAUAAAACAUGAUUGAUAUCCCGUUGAAGAUACAUACUAACAGAUAUAUUUACUUUCAUAAGUAUUUACAUGUAACGUAGAUAUAAACAUUUCUGUAUAUUUGUCACUUGAGAGUGAUAUUUACAUUAGAAUUUUUACAUAUAUUGUAUUGGACGAGAAUAAUUACAAUUAACAAACAAUAACAAAUAUGUAUCUUUUUACUAUUAUUCACCACCUGUUUAAGUCAAUUCAGUUAAGAAUUUCAAUUCAAAGUACAAAGCGCGUCUAAAACAAAUAUACAUGCACAUAAACAAAGGUUUUUUUGUACAUAUGUCAAUGAAUAUAUGUACUAGAUAAAUAUGAUGUAAAAAUGUAUGUACAUAUAA